UUGAUUUUAAUUAUUUGUGUAGGUACUACUAAUUAACAACAAUUUUAUAAUCAAAACAAAAAAAAUCA
rnacentral:misc_RNA from 1 species